rnacentral:rRNA from 1 species
UACGUAGGGUGCAAGCGUUGUCCGGAAUUAUUGGGCGUAAAGAGCUCGUAGGCGGUCUGUCGCGUCUGCUGUGAGAACUCGGGGCUUAACCCCGGGCCUGCAGUGGGUACGGGCAGACUAGAGUGCGGUAGGGGAGACUGGAAUUCCUGGUGUAGCGGUGAAAUGCGCAGAUAUCAGGAGGAACACCGGUGGCGAAGGCGGGUCUCUGGGCCGAUACUGACGCUGAGGAGCGAAAGCGUGGGGAGCAAACAGG